GCGCCCAUAGCUCAGUUGGAUAGAGUGGCAGACUUCGAAUCUGAAGGUCGUGGGUUCGACUCCCGCUGGGCGCACCA
rnacentral:tRNA from 1 species